UACAGAGGGUGCAAGCGUUAAUCGGAAUUACUGGGCGUAAAGCGUGCGUAGACGGUUAUGUAAGUCGGGUGUGAAAGCCCCGGGCUCAACCUGGGAAUGCCAUUCGAGACUGCAUAGCUAGGGUGCGGAAGAGGGAAGCGGAAUUUCCGGUGUAGCGGUGAAAUGCGUAGAUAUCGGAAGGAACAUCAGUGGCGAAAGCGGCUUCCUGGUCCAGCACCGACGUUCAGGCACGAAAGCGUGGGGAGCAAACAGG
rnacentral:rRNA from 1 species